UUAUACGCCCUUCGGGGGAAAGAUUUAUCGGAGAAGGAUUAGCCCGCGUUAGAUUAGGUAGUUGGUGGGGUAAUGGCCUACCAAGCCUACGAUCUAUAGCUGGUUUGAGAGGAUGAUCAGCCACACUGGGACUGAGACACGGCCCAGACUCCUACGGGAGGCAGCAGUAGGGAAUCUUAGACAAUGGGGGAAACCCUGAUCUAGCCAUGCCGCGUGUGUGAUGAAGGCCUUAGGGUCGUAAAGCACUUUCGCCAGAGAUGAUAAUGACAGUAUCUGGUAAAGAAACCCCGGCUAACUCCGUGCCAGCAGCCGCGGUAAUACGGAGGGGGUUAGCGUUGUUCGGAAUUACUGGGCGUAAAGCGCACGUAGGCGGAUUAGUAAGUUAGAGGUGAAAUCCCAGGGCUCAACCCUGGAACUGCCUUUAAUACUGCUAGUCUUGAGUUCGAGAGAGGUAAGUGGAAUUCCRAGUGUAGAGGUGAAAUUCGUAGAUAUUYGGAGGAACACCAGUGGCGAAGGCGGCUUACUGGCUCGAUACUG
rnacentral:rRNA from 1 species